rnacentral:rRNA from 1 species
AGUGAACGCCGGCGGUAGGCCUAACACAUGCAAGUCGAACGGCAGCACAGAGGAGCUUGCUCCUUGGGUGGCGAGUGGCGGACGGGUGAGGAAUACAUCGGAAUCUACUCUGUCGUGGGGGAUAACGUAGGGAAACUUACGCUAAUACCGCAUACGACCUACGGGUGAAAGCAGGGGAUCUUCGGACCUUGCGCGAUUGAAUGAGCCGAUUUCGGAUUAGCUAGUUGGCGGGGUAAAGGCCCACCAAGGCGACGAUCCGUAGCUGGUCUGAGAGGAUGAUCAGCCACACUGGAACUGAGACACGGUCCAGACUCCUACGGGAGGCAGCAGUGGGGAAUAUUGGACAAUGGGCGCAAGCCUGAUCCAGCCAUACCGCGUGGGUGAAGAAGGCCUUCGGGUUGUAAAGCCCUUUUGUUGGGAAAGAAAUCCAUCUGGUUAAUACCCGGGUGGGAUGACGGUACCCAAAGAAUAAGCACCGGCUAACUUCGUGCCAGCAGCCGCCGCAG